UUGGAGGGCAAGUCUGGUGCCAGCAGCCGCGGUAAUUCCAGCUCCAAUAGCGUAUAUUAAAGUUGUUGCAGUUAAAAAGCUCGUAGUUGAAUUUCGGGACUAAUAUGUCGGUCGUACUUUGUACGUACUAGCAUUAUUGGUUUCUCCCUUCUGACGAACCACGAUGUCAUUAAUUUGGUGUCUUGGGAAAUCAGGACUGUUACUUUGAAAAAAUUAGAGUGUUUAAAGCAAGCUCGCGCUUGAAUACAUUAGCAUGGAAUAAUGAAAUAGGACGUUUGAUUCUAUUUUGUUGGUUUCUAGGAUCGACGUAAUGAUUAAUAGGGAUAGUUGGGGGCAUUAGUAUUCAAUUGUCAGAGGUGAAAUUCUUGGAUUUAUUGAAGACUAACUACUGCGAAAGCAUUUGCCAAGGAUGUUUUCAUUAAUCAAGAACGAAAGUUAGGGGAUCGAAGACGAUCAGAUACCGUCGUAGUCUUAACCAUAAACUAUGCCGACUAGGGAUCGGAUGAUGUUAAUUUUUUUAAUGUACUCA
rnacentral:rRNA from 1 species